GUGGCGAACGGGUGAGUAACACGUGAGCAACCUGCCCCUGACUCUGGGAUAAGCGCUGGAAACGGCGUCUAAUACUGGAUAUGUGACGUGACCGCAUGGUCUGCGUCUGGAAAGAAUUUCGGUUGGGGAUGGGCUCGCGGCCUAUCAGCUUGUUGGUGAGGUAAUGGCUCACCAAGGCGUCGACGGGUAGCCGGCCUGAGAGGGUGACCGGCCACACUGGGACUGAGACACGGCCCAGACUCCUACGGGAGGCAGCAGUGGGGAAUAUUGCACAAUGGGCGCAAGCCUGAUGCAGCAACGCCGCGUGAGGGACGACGGCCUUCGGGUUGUAAACCUCUUUUAGCAGGGAAGAAGCGAAAGUGACGGUACCUGCAGAAAAAGCGCCGGCUAACUACGUGCCAGCAGCCGCGGUAAUACGUAGGGCGCAAGCGUUAUCCGGAAUUAUUGGGCGUAAAGAGCUCGUAGGCGGUUUGUCGCGUCUGCUGUGAAAUCCCGAGGCUCAACCUCGGGCCUGCAGUGGGUACGGGCAGACUAGAGUGCGGUAGGGGAGAUUGGAAUUCCUGGUGUAGCGGUGGAAUGCGCAGAUAUCAGGAGGAACACCGAUGGCGAAGGCAGAUCUCUGGGCCGUAACUGACGCUGAGGAGCGAAAGGGUGGGGAGCAAACAGGCUUAGAUACCCUGGUAGUCCACCCCGUAAACGUUGGGAACUAGUUGUGGGG
rnacentral:rRNA from 1 species